rnacentral:rRNA from 1 species
UACGGAGGGAGCGAACGUUGUUCGGAUUUACUGGGCGUAAAGGGUGUGUAGGCGGUCUUGUAAGUCAGGGGUGAAAUCCCUCGGCUCAACCGAGGAACGGCGCUUGAUACUGCAUGGCUUGAGGGAGACAGGGGUAAGCGGAACUGAUGGUGGAGCGGUGAAAUGCGUUGAUAUCAUCAGGAACACCGGUGGCGAAAGCGGCUUACUGGGUCUCUUCUGACGCUGAGGAACGAAAGCUAGGGUAGCGAACGGG